rnacentral:rRNA from 1 species
GACGAACGCUGGCGGCGUGCCUAAUACAUGCAAGUAGAACGCUGAAGGAGGAGCUUGCUUCUCUGGAUGAGUUGCGAACGGGUGAGUAACGCGUAGGUAACCUGCCUGGUAGCGGGGGAUAACUAUUGGAAACGAUAGCUAAUACCGCAUAAUAGCAGUUGUUGCAUGAUAACUGUUUGAAAGGUGCAAUUGCACCACUACCAGAUGGACCUGCGUUGUAUUAGCUAGUUGGUGGGGUAACGGCUCACCAAGGCGACGAUACAUAGCCGACCUGAGAGGGUGAUCGGCCACACUGGGACGGAGACACGGCCCAGACUCCUACGGGAGGCAGCAGUAGGGAAUCUUCGGCAAUGGACGGAAGUCUGACCGAGCAACGCCGCGUGAGUGAAGAAGGUUUUCGGAUCGUAAAGCUCUGUUGUAAGAGAAGAACGAGUGUGAGAGUGGAAAGUUCACACUGUGACGGUAGCUUACCAGAAAGGGACGGCUAACUACGUG